UACGUAGGGUGCGAGCGUUUGUCCGGAAUUAUUGGGCGUAAAGAGCUCGUAGGCGGUUCGUCGCGUCGGCUGUGAAAACCCGGAGCUCAACUCCGGGCCUGCAGUCGAUACGGGCGGACUGGAGUUCGGCAGGGGAGACUGGAAUUCCUGGUGUAGCGGUGGAAUGCGCAGGAUAUCAGGAGGAACACCGGUGGCGAAGGCGGGUCUCUGGGCCGAUGACUGACGCUGAGGAGCGAAAGCGUGGGGAGCGAACAGG
rnacentral:rRNA from 1 species